GCAGCGUCAGUCUUCAGCCGCUAAGCUGAGAAGAUCUGGGAAGGAGUCAGAGAGCCUUGGGCCAGAGUUCCAGGGGCUUUGGAAGUGGCUACCAGAGAAGGAGCCAUGAUGAAAGAUGGCUUUGACCCAUUUGAAGACUUUCAGCCAGAAAAUGUGCUUUGUACUAGGAGCUGGAGGAACGGCAUUGCCACCACACCAUACCCCUUCUUGAUGGAAUAGCCACAGCCAGAAACCUCCCUCUGUCCCUUCCCACAUGCCUACAUCAUACUUAGGUGCUGGCGAUUCAUGGACUGACCUGCAUUAUCCUCUGCAGCGUGGAUGACAAGAGAGAGGCUGAGUCGAGUGAGUCCCUGACAGACUGGAGGCCGAGCCUAUUGAAAUCCCUUUUGGAACCAGGCAAGCAGUAAAUAAAUACAGACAUGAAUAGAUGGAAAUGGAAUUUCUACGACCCAAACACCCACACCAUCAGCAAGUUAGAUUUAUAGCAGAGCUUCAGGGAAGAUGACUCCCUCUGCUAACAGCCACGUUUCAGUCUGCCCUAAACCAAGCACACCUACUCACCACCCUCCAGCUGCCCUGAGAUCUCUCUUCUUCCUUUCACCUGCUCUUUCCCUGCCUCCACUUCCUCAACACCCACUCCUCAUUAACCAUUGCAGUCAAGGUCACACCCCCAUUGUUUUACUGGCAGUCUUCUUUGGCGGUCACCAAUGACCUUUUCAUUGCCAGAUGCAAUUAAAAAAUUUUUUUUCUACUAAUACAUAAUAUAUAUACGUGUUUUUGGGGUACAUGUGAUAUUUUGGUACAUGCGUAGAAUGUGUAAUAAUUAAGUCAGAGUAUUUAGGAAAUCCAUCGCCUCAAACAUCUAUCAUUUCUUUGUGUUGGGAACAUUUCACAUCUUCUCUUCUAGCUAUUUUGAAAUAAAUUCCCUGAUUAUAUUCUGUUCUCUGCCUUCUUUGGUGGCGAUUACUCAUAAUACACCAAAGUUCUUUACAAGAUCCUGUCCUUAGCUCUCUUUUUCCUUUUCCUCUCUCACUCCUGUCUCCUUGCAAAUUUCAUCCACUACAACAGCUUCUCCUCCCACAGCUGUGGUUUCCACUCAAGUAGACCUCUUCUGGCCACCAUAUUCCCCUCAAGUCAGAGCUCUGCAUCUUCAACUUUUUGAGUAUUUCCUGUGUGUCCCCCAGCCACCGCCCAGCAUUCUGUAUCAGGCAUCCAACUCAAAUGCCUGGCACUCUCUUUGAUAUCUCUCUUCCUUUAUGUAUUCUCAAAGAACCAAUUACCAAGUACUCCCUACUCAGCUGUUACUGUGAUUCUACCUUCAAAAUUCUUUGCCAAGCAUCUCAAUUCGGAAAUCCAUGUUGGAGUAAACAAAUAGGAAUCUGAGCAAAAUAUAUGAAGCAACUAUUUUCAGACAUUGGACAGUAGGCAAAAGGACCAUGGGUCCCUGAGAGAGGCAGGAUCCAGAGUCUCCCCAGCCUGAGGGCACUUUCUACCCACAGCUUAUGGGAGUGAUCCAAGCAGAGAUGACAGCUCUGCUGAAUUAAGAGAUCAGAAUAUGAAGACAUUGGGCCGGUUCUUAGUUGAGGGGGCAGAGUAAGAAGAUAUGGGGAACUACGGCAGAAAGAGCCUGCCAAUCUGCAUAUGGGUCUCCUUGAGCUUGUUAGUGAAUACUCAUCAGAGCAAGUAUGAAAGAAAUCCAUGAGCAGGGCAGAGAACUCCAGGCACUCACACCAGGCUCCUACCAGAAAAGGAGGAGAGACUUGUUAGGCAUUCAGAAGAAACUUCCAAAAGCUUGAGUCUUUUCAGAUGCAGUUUCUGUAUCUAUUGAAGUGGUUUUUCAUAUAACGUGGUACGAAUAUGUUGGUAAGGAUUUUUACCUUUCCUCGUGAGAGGAAAUGGCUUAUAGUAUUCUAUUCUUGUAAUGUCCUUGUCAAGUUUUGAUAUCAAGAUGAUGCUGAGCUGGCAAUGUUCUUUCCUUCUCUGUUUCUAGAAAAGAAAUUUGUGUAGGCUUGGUAUUCUUUCUUAAAUGUUUGAUAAAAUUCAACACUAAACCAUCUGGGUCUGGAGUUUUCCUUAUGGGAAUUUAAUUCUCAAUUAAAUGUCUUUAAUUUACAUAUGGUUGUUAAGAAUCUCUAUUUCUUCUUUUGUCAAUUUGGGUAAUAUGUGUCUUUCAAGGAAUUUAUUUUACCUAAGUUUUUAAAUUUAUUGUCAUGAAGUUGUACAUAAUAUUCUUACUAUCCUUUUAACAUCUAUCUGUUGGAUCAGUUAUGAUGUUCCCUUUUUCAUUCUUGAUACUUUUAAUGUCUUCUCUUUUUUCCCUUAAUCAGUCUAACUAGAAGUUUAUCAAUUUUUUAUUUUCACUUUUUGAGAUAGGGCCUCAUUCUGCACACAGGCUGAAGUGUGUGGUUAUGAGCUCAGCUCACUACAGUCUUAACUUCCUGGUCUCAAGCAAUCCUCCCACUUUAGUCUCCUGAAUAGCUGGAACUAUAGGUGUGUGCCACCAUGCCCGGGUAAUUUUGUUUUUUCGUUUUGUUUUGUUUUGUUUUUUGUAGAGAUGGGGGUCUCACUGUGUUGCCCAUCCUGGUCUUGAACUCUUGGGUCAAGUAAUCUUCCUGCCUCAGUUUCCCAAAGAGCUGGGAUUACAGAUUUGACCCACCACAUCUGGCCAAGUUUAUCAAUUUUAAAUCAUUUCCAAUAACCAAGAUUUGGUUUCAUUGAUUAUUUUGUCUUUUUUCUAUUUUAUUGAUUUCUUAUUACUUUCUUCUACUUACUUUGGGUAUGAUUGGAGCCCCUUUCUUGCUUCUUAAACUUAUUGAUUUAGAACUCUUUGCUUUUUAUUUUUUAAUUUUAAUUUUUAUUAUUGUUAUUUUUUGUAGAGACAGGGUAUCACUUUGCUGCCAGAAGUGAUCUCAGACUCCCAAGCUUAAGUGAUUUAUCCUGGCCUCCCAAAAUGCUGGGAUUACAGGUACGAGCCACCACGCCCAGCUUAGAACUUCUUAUUUUCAAAUACAAGCAUCUAAAGCAAUAAGCUCUAACUGCGUCCCACAGAUUUUGAUAUGUUGUAUUUUAAUUGUCAUUCUGUUAAAAAUAAUUUCACAGUGGAGAAACUUAACAGAGAUAAUUAAUCAAAUGACCAACAUAAAUUUCAUCAGUAAUGAGACAAGUAGAAAUCCUGUGCUACCUGAUAUGAUACAACAAGAAGAACACAGCAUUGCUUCUGUGAUAUUCUGCCAGAGUUGCACAAUCUGAAUCCAAACAUGAGGAAAUGCCAGACAAAUCCAUAUUAAGGGCUACUGUAUACAUAAAUAACCUAUAAUCUUAAAAUAUUAUAAUCAAAGCCUGAGGAACUCUUCCAGAAUUAAGGAGACUAUAGAGAUGUGUUCAACGGAACACAUAAUUCUGAAUUCGUAUGAUUUUGCUACUGAGACAUCGCUGAAAUUUAAAUGGGGUCUCAAGAUUAUAGGGUUAAUUGAUUUUCAUGGUUGUAUUAUAGGAAAUGCACACUACAGUAUUCAGUGUCGUUGGGCAUUAUGUUGACAAACUCAUGUAAAAUGGUUCAGAAUUAAAAUGUUUUUUGGAUUAUA
rnacentral:lncRNA from 1 species